CAAACGGGUGAGUAACGCGUGGGUAUCUACCCAAUAGUGCGGAAUAACAGUUAGAAAUGACUGCUAAUACCGCAUGUGCUCUACGGAGAAAAGAUUUAUCGCUAUUGGAUGAGCCCGCGUCGGAUUAGCUAGUUGGUAAGGUAAUGGCUUACCAAGGCUACGAUCCGUAGCUGGUCUGAGAGGAUGACCAGCCACACUGGGACUGAGACACGGCCCAG
rnacentral:rRNA from 1 species